GCGCUCUCUCCCCCUCUCUCCUUCCUCCUCGAAUUGAAUGUUGCCAAUAAAUACCGCACCCUCCCCGUCAUACGGUCGCUGCCUGCCUAAAUCAAUGCGCCCAUCGCCGCUUGCUUCUUCUUCCUCCUGACGCCGGCGUCAGAGAAAGCUCAUGCUUCGCUCCCUCGUCCCUGCUGCUCGAUGCCUCCUCCUUCCAUUCUACGCCAUGCAGAGGAGUGCCAGCUGCUCCAUUGAUUGAUGGAUGCCAUGCCCAGCGCGAUCGAGAGGUGGGCGCGCGGCGACGGGGUAUUGGCGCGGUUCAAUUCGAGAGCCUGCGCCCCUCCGGAGGCAGGGGGGCUCUGCUCUCUGAUUGAGCCGUGCCAAUAUCACGUCGCCUUCGAUUGAUUGUUUGCAGCCUUUCAGAGAUCACUCACUUGGAGGGCUAUCAACAUUACCGACAACGCUAUCGCGCAACUGUUCCUUCUGAAGAACCCACAGUGGGCAUCCAUAACAUGAGAGGUCAUGUGCAAAGGAGCCCUUCCGCAAUUCUGCAUCAGGCAUCCGACAACGCGUUCUGAGGGUCGGGGAUCGAGCUGUUGGCUCCGACGACGAACAGCAACGCGCCAACUGGGACGGCAGCAUCAGCAUCCAACUUUGUGCAUGAACUGGACAAGCUGCCAGAUACUGGCUGAUAGGGAUGCUGAGGCGUUGUCGUCAAUCGUCACCUCGGCUUUUGCCAGGGAAUCAACGUGAUCCAACAGAACCUGCGGUGUGAGGGGCAAGCGUGAGCUGGGCUGCAUCAGGUUAGUCUGAAAAUUUGCCGUGUGCAGCUGCUUUUACAGAAAGUGCUCUCCAAUCUUCAUGCAAAAGUAAAUCCUGCCAGCAGUUAUGGUAACUAGUAGCUUUAUGUUCCUAUGCCUUCAAAUUCAGACAUUCAGUGUUAAACUUUUAACAUGAUUAUUACCUAUAUCAAAUCACUUUUUCUCCAAAAGCAUAAUUCUAGUGAAGGAGUUACUUAACCUUUUGCUGAUGACAUACUUGUCUGUCCCAUUAACCACCAGUGAGAAGUGUUUGUAAACAGCAACGCUCAUCAAAGGUCAGGUGAUAUUUUGGAGCAUAUUUACUGUAUGUUACACCAGAAGAGCUUGCAUGAUUGCAUCCAUGUGUAAAUAAAGAGGCGUUUUUUUUAAGGGUUACAGCAUGUCACAUGUCAGCAGUAGUGAAAGUGAAACCAUGUUAAGCUCCUGGUCUUGGCCAUGCAACUCAGAUCCAGCUGUUAAGCCAAGGAAUGCAUUUUCAGUACUGGCUUUCAGGGACAUAUCAUUUAUGUCAUAAGAUUUGUGUCUAUUAAUUAAUGAUAACAUAUUGAGAGGACAUUUCAACAGAUCAGAUAAUUUAACAAUAAUCCAGGAACACAUACGGUGGCAAAUUGAAAACAGAAUGGAGGUUUGAUCAACCAUAAGAAUCACCAAAGGAUACACCAUCGAAAGCUAUGUAGGUUUGGGCUUAGUUUCCUUUAUCCUGUAAGCAUGUUUGAACAUCUGGCUUACUGUUGCCGUUGCCGGCUGUAUUUUUUUUCCCCCACAACUAUUUGGGAACAGCACCCUACCCCCAUGUCCACUAUAGCCUAGGUAACAAAUUCAUCAACUGACUCGUUGGUUUGGUUUUUUUUUCUGCAUCACCCAUAAAUCAUGAAAAUUGUUUAGGGCAGCUUUCAACAGAAAAGCAGCCAAAUGACACACUUGCUACCCAUCUGAAGAUGUCGCAUAUUGUUUGGUUGAAAGAAAUGGUGUUGAAUAGCCACACCAUCUUCUAUAACCUAACGGAUUUGUCAGGCAAUUUCCAGGAAUCUCAAUUUGGCUAGGCAGUUCAACCAGAGCUACAUUACCGCCAUGUGAAUGAGCACAUGAUUCAUCCAUCAGUGGGGAACAAUAUGCAGGGAACUAAUACAAGGUAAAUGUGUCGGUUCAAGGAUUGGACGAGUCAUUUUGGGAGCGUCAUCAGGGAAUAAUCUUGAAAUGAAAAAAAUUACCACAAUGCAUCGAGACGAUUUUGGCCUGUGGAUCAGGUGGUGCCAUUUGUAUUUGCGGAUCAGAUCAUGUUUAAGAACAACGAUUGAGGCCAAAGGGAAAAAUGAGAGGCUCACCGUGAGAUCCAGCAGAGAGAAUCACCAAUGGAGUGCCAUCCAAAAUUGCAGCGGCUAGGAGCUUUCUUCCUUCCUUUCUUUCUUCUUUCUUUCUUUCUUUUGGUUCUGUAUGCAAAUGUGAAUGUAGCAGUCUAGCAUGAAGUUCAGAACCGUUUUCCCCCCAUGUCCAUUGGCAAUCCCAUAACUACCAAAUUACAGUGUUGAGCCAGUUCGUGAUAUCUGAAUGAGUGCAUUAAACACCUACACCCUUAGCUUCCAAUCAGACGAGUACCCAAAUAACCCUUCAUCAUAUCCGAAUUAGCAUUCAGAGCUUUGAAAUCACCUUGUUCAGUAUAUAUAAGCUGGUGUAGACAUGUUCACCGCCUCCAAUAAAAUGGGAUUCAUCAGGCAAAAUUAGGCGACAUCGAAAAAUUAAUACAAUCAGAGCGGCAUCAAAAAAUUAACACGAUCAGAUGGCACACGCAAAGCUGCAUCAAUUACCACUGAAGAUUCAUUUAGGACCUGAUGCAUUCUUACCUACCAAUAAGCGCAAGAUCAGCAACAGCGUAUCCUGGCGCCUAUGAAAGCAAAUCCAUGACAAAACAUCAGCAGGCAACCAGAACAUAUCAAAGUGAACCAACACCAUUCAACCACGCGAACUUAUCCAGUGUAAUAGGCAGGUUGCUACAGGUAGCAAUUGCAUACUAGUAACAGG